rnacentral:rRNA from 1 species
UACAGAGGUCUCAAGCGUUGUUCGGAUUCAUUGGGCGUAAAGGGUGCGUAGGCGGCGCGGUAAGUCGGGUGUGAAAUCUCGGAGCUUAACUCCGAAACUGCAUUCGAUACUGCCGUGCUUGAGGACUGGAGAGGAGACUGGAAUUUACGGUGUAGCGGUGAAAUGCGUAGAUAUCGUAAGGAAGACAGUGGCGAAGGCGGCUCACUGGACCGGAACUGACGCUGAGGCGCGAAAGCGUGGGGAGCAAACGGG